GUGCUCGUUCUGGCAGCACAUAUACUAAAAUCAGAAGGGUAUGGAUAAGAUUAGCUCGGCCCCUGAACAAGGAUGACACACAAAUUCAUAAGCAUUUCAUAUCAAA
rnacentral:snRNA from 1 species